rnacentral:rRNA from 1 species
UGGGGAAUCUUGCACAAUGGGGGAAACCCUGAUGCAGCGACGCCGCGUGAACGAUGAAGCCCUUCGGGGUGUAAAGUUCUUUCGACAGGAACAAUAAUGACGGUACCUGGAGAAGAAGCUGCGGCUAACUACGUGCCAGCAGCCGCGGUAAUACGUAGGCAGCGAGCGUUGUUCGGAGUUACUGGGCGUCACGAGUGCGUAGGCGGCGAGCCAAGUUUGGUGUGAAAUCUCCCGGCUUAACCGGGAGGGUGCGCCGAAAAUUGGUUGGCUGGAGUAUGGGGUAGGAAAGCGGAAUUCCUGGUGUAGCGGUGAAAUGCGUAGAUGUCAGGAGGAACACCUGCGGUGUAGACAGCUUUCUGGACCAAAACUGACGCUGAGGCACGAAAGCGUGGGUAGCAAACA